AGCAAAUAAGCUUUUUAAUAAUAAUACUGUAUUAAUGUAUAACAGUGUAUAUAUCUGCAAACAGCCUGAGAAUUUUUGUGGUAAUCAAAAUUCUUAAAGUUUGCUAAGUUAUAUAGUCAUAUUUUAUCUUAAUAUUAAAAAGACUAAGCUAAGUGUUAACAACUAUGUAACCUUCUGCAUUUGCUUUUAAACUUUCUUAUUAUUCUGGUUAAAUAAUAAGUGUUAUUUAAUAACUAUAAUUCUAUUUAGGCAAGUGCCUUAAAAACUUUUGACAACUUCCCAAGACCAAAUUUAAAAAGGUAUUUUUACCUCUAAUUAACUCUGAUAUUUUCCAGAGGGCCCCCUGGAACAUAUCAGUAGAAUUUCUUCUCCUCAUCAAAGAAAAUAUUUGACUAAUUUGGCUUAUUUACCUGAUAUAUAUUUACCUGGAAAGCACUGUCAAAAGGAAUAAUGCUAAACUUUAUUACUGAAUCUUUCAUGUUACAUAAAUAUCACUCUUCCUCCUAAGAUGCUUACUCCUGAUGCCCAAUUAAAUUUACCUGUUAGUACUACUAUCAUUACUGUGUAUGUAUUAAUUGUACUCAUGUAGCCUCUUAUUGUAAUUCUACAAUCAAUGUAAAAUGGUCUUCUGGAUAUAGACUUUCAAAUGUUUGGGUAUUUUUGUGUGAUAAUGAAACAUAUUAAGCCCUUUCUCAACACUAUCAAGGUGUUUGUGGGGUGAGACGCAUUCUUCCUGCUCUAAUAGACCAUCCUGGAUAUAAGCGCAAGAGACCUCUCCGAGCUCUGCCAUCUGAUUGUGAUGAAAACUUGAAACUUUGAGAUCCUGCCGCUGUCGCAGUUGCAGCUACGUUCCUCCUGCCAAUUCCUGGACUUGUCGUUGAAAUGCAGAAAGAGAUAUCUAAGCUGGCCUGUGCAUAUAGCAAAACAACAAAUUUGACUGCUUCUGUAUUAUCUGAACUCAACCAAGAACUGGGAGAAGUGCGAGCUGCAGUGCUUCAGAAUUGUGCUACUAUAGAGUAUCUACUGUUAAAAGAACAUGUAGGAUGUGAACAGUUUCCAAGAAUGUGUUGUUUCAAUUUGUCUGAUUUUUCUCAAACUACCCAAAAUCAAUUAGAUGAUAUCCAUCAUAUUGUCAAUAAGUUUUUACAAAUGCCUAAGCUAUCUAACUAGUUUUCUUAAUUUCAUUAGAUAUAACUAGUAAUUGUAAGUCUGCCUUUGUUAUGUAUCUGUAUUCCUAUUCUGUUAAUGUGUGAUGCAAUUUAACUAGUAGUUUGUUAAAACCUAUAUAUAUUCAAGUUAUGUCUGUCUUUCGACAUGUUCGAUCUCAGCCAUGUAAUGCAUAUUUCCCACAAAACUGGGAUGCCAUAUAAUCCACAAGGCCAAAGCAUUGUAGAACGUGCCCAUGGCACCCUUAAAGCUCAAUUGGAAAAAACAAAAAAGGGGGGAGUUAUACCCCUGGUCACCCCAGAACCAUUUAAAUCAUAUCUUAUUUGCAGCCAAAACUGCAUCUGAUAUAUUAAAUCAUAUAAAAGACAUGUUCAAAGAACCCCUGAAUAGUCUCUGGCACAGUCACACCUCCCUUAACCCUAAGCAUUUUAUGUCUUCUAUUGCUGUUACUAGGGCCUUGUGUCCUUUGCACAGCAUGUGGAAACUAAUCCAACAAGCCUUAAGAGGCCUGCAUCAUUUGAAAUUGCAGACGGCCCCCCCCACUUGUAAAUCAUAAGAUCUAAAGUCAAGUAUGGUAGCCAAUGACGGGUAAGAUAUGGUUGAGUUGUAAAUACCAACCUAAGACAGGGAGUGGUCGACAGAGGACUAUGGCCCCAUGACGGGUAAGGAUUUACUUCAACCAUACAACCUAAGACAGGCACAUACCUUGACCCAGUCUGAGUUGGGCUGGUU